rnacentral:rRNA from 1 species
UACGAAGGGGGCUAGCGUUGUUCGGAAUUACUGGGCGUAAAGGGUGCGUAGGCGGCGCGGUAAGUCGGGUGUGAAAUCUCGGGGCUUAACUCCGAAACUGCAUUCGAUACUGCCGUGCUUGAGGACUGGAGAGGAGACUGGAAUUUACGGUGUAGCGGUGAAAUGCGUAGAUAUCGUAAGGAAGACCAGUGGCGAAGGCGGGUCUCUGGGCCGAUACUGACGCUGAGGAGCGAAAGCGUGGGGAGCGAACAGG